rnacentral:rRNA from 1 species
CCCUUAGAUGCUCUGGGCCGCACGCGCGUUACACUGAUGCAUUCAACGAGCUUAUAACCUUGGCCGAGAGGCCUGGGCAAUCUUGUUAACGUGCAUCGUGAUAGGGAUAGAUUAUUGAAAUUAUUAAUCUUGAACGAGGAAUUCCUAGUAAACGCAGAUCAUCAAUCUGCAUUGAUUACGUCCCUGCCCUUUGUACACACCGCCCGUCGCACCUACCGAUUGGAUGGUCCGGUGAAGCCUCGGGAUUGUGGUUCUUGCCGCUUUAUUGUGGCGUGACCGCGAGAACUUGUCUAAACCUUAUCAUCUAGAGGAAGGUGAAGCCGUAACA